GACGAACGCUGGCGGCGUGCUUGGCACAUGCAAGUCGAACGGAAAGGCCCUGCUUUUGUGGGGUGCUCGAGUGGCGAACGGGUGAGUAACACGUGAGUAACCUGCCCUUGACUUUGGGAUAACUUCAGGAAACUGGGGCUAAUACCGGAUAGGAGCUCCUGCUGCAUGGUGGGGGUUGGAAAGUUUCGGCGGUUGGGGAUGGACUCGCGGCUUAUCAGCUUGUUGGUGGGGUAGUGGCUUACCAAGGCUUUGACGGGUAGCCGGCCUGAGAGGGUGACCGGCCACAUUGGGACUGAGAUACGGCCCAGACUCCUACGGGAGGCAGCAGUGGGGAAUAUUGCACAAUGGGCGGAAGCCUGAUGCAGCAACGCCGCGUGCGGGAUGACGGCCUUCGGGUUGUAAACCGCUUUCGCCUGUGACGAAGCGUGAGUGACGGUAAUGGGUAAAGAAGCACCGGCUAACUACGUG
rnacentral:rRNA from 1 species